AGGAAAACACCAUUGCAUGAUUUAGGGUGUUGUCACAAUGAGGACUUAACACAAGAUAUGGUAAUAAUUGGUAUUGUACAGAGUGCUCGAGUAAAGCUAUCGAAUUUAUCAUGUUGGCAACACUUCCCUUGGAAAAAGUUGCAAGUAGAUAAUUUUGUAAAAAAAAAUGCUUCAAUUGUUUGAUUUGUGGAUAUGCCAUUUGCACCUUAUUUGUGAGCUGUCACAAGAUUAACUAUGAAGAGAAGG
rnacentral:lncRNA from 1 species